rnacentral:rRNA from 1 species
CGGCGGACGGGUGAGUAAUGCCUAGGAAUCUGCCUGGUAGUGGGGGACAACGUUUCGAAAGGAACGCUAAUACCGCAUACGUCCUAUGGGAGAAAGCAGGGACCUUCGGGCCUUGCGCUAUCAGAUGAGCCUAGGUCGGAUUAGCUAGUUGGUGAGGUAAUGGCUCACCAAGGCGACGAUCCGUAACUGGUCUGAGAGGAUGAUCAGUCACACUGGAACUGAGACACGGUCCAGACUCCUAAGGGAGGCAGCAGUA